AAGUCGUAACAAGGUUUCCGUAGGUGAACCUGCGGAAGGAUCAUUAACACAAAACCAAGAAGAGACCAUAGAAAUAUGUGUCUCAUCUUACUAUCCACCGUGGUCUUGUUUUGUACCUGUGAAGAACAGGAUUAUCCAAGGACGUCAUUGGGACCGAUGGUCAUACCGGAGUAAAUUUAUACCAGUGACCUCUGAGGCCAAUACCAUUUCUUUUCUGAUCGAUUUAUACCUGCACUGAAACCCAUAUGCACACGAAAGUGUGUGUAUGUUUAUUGACCUCGUGUCAAUAAAACCAUAUACAACUCGUAACAACGGAUCUCUCGGCUAAU
rnacentral:misc_RNA from 1 species